rnacentral:rRNA from 1 species
AACGUAGGACGCAAGCGUUAUCCGGAGUUACUGGGCGUAAAGCGCGGGCAGGCGGCUCUGCCAGUCUGAUGUGAAAUCUCUCCGCUCAACGGAGAGCAGCCAUUGGAAACUACAGAGCUGGAGUCUAGCAGAGGUAGGCGGAAUUCCGGGUGGAGUGGUGAAAUGCGUAGAGAUCCGGAGGAACACCAGAGGCGAAGGCGGCCUACUGGGCUAGCACUGACGCUGAGCCGCGAAAGCCAGGGGAGCGAACGGG